AUUUUUUAAGGAAAUAACAAAGAAAAAACUAUAACAAGGAGUACUAGAAACAUUCAUAUCUUUAUGAUUUUUCCGUCUGCUGACUGUAUAGAUCUCCGUCUUUUAUUUCAGGGAAGAUACCAGUACAUAGCAUUGAAAAGAUGCACCUAACUUUGGAAAGUGAAUUUAAUUGGUAGAAUUACAGCUCCGCUCAUCUAGUUCUUGGCCACAAUGCAUGCUGUUUCACAUCGCUAAGAAAUGAAUACCCUGGUACAGACGCAACCACUAAGUUUGAACUAGUGAUGACUACCAUGGGGUUCACAAUACAA